rnacentral:rRNA from 1 species
UACGUAGGGUGCAAGCGUUGUCCGGAAUUAUUGGGCGUAAAGAGCUCGUAGGCGGUCUGUCGCGUCGGCUGUGAAAACCCGGAGCUCAACUCCGGGCCUGCAGUCGAUACGGGCAAACUGGAGUGUUGCAGGGGAGACUGGAAUUCCUGGUGUAGCGGUGAAAUGCGCAGAUAUCAGGAAGAACACCCGUGGCGAAAGCGGCUCUCUGGAACGGUACUGACGCUGAGACGCGAAAGCGUGGGGAGCGAACAGG